rnacentral:rRNA from 1 species
UACGUAGGGGGCAAGCGUUGUCCGGAUUUAUUGGGCGUAAAGGGUGCGUAGGCGGCCUUUUAAGUCAGAUGUGAAAGAUCACGGCUCAACCGUGGUAAGCAUUUGAAACUGGAAGGCUUGAGUUAAGGAGAGGAAAGUGGAAUUCCUAGUGUAGCGGUGAAAUGCGUAGAUAUUAGGAGGAAUACCAGUGGCGAAGGCGACUUUCUGGACUUAUACUGACGCUGAGGCACGAAAGCGUGGGGAGCGAACAGGAUUAGAUACCCUGGUAGUCCACGCCGUAAACGAUGAGUGCUAGGUGUUGGGGGUCAAACCUCGGUGCCGCAGCUAACGCAUUAAGCACUCCGCCUGGGGAGUACGUACGCAAGUAUGAA